AUUGAACGCUGGCGGCAUGCUUUACACAUGCAAGUCGAACGGUAACAGGCCGCAAGGUGCUGACGAGUGGCGAACGGGUGAGUAAUGCAUCGGAACGUGCCAGUCGUGGGGGAUAACUAUCCGAAAGGAUAGCUAAUACCGCAUACGAUCUGCGGAUGAAAGCGGGGGACCUUCGGGCCUCGCGCGAUUGGAGCGGCCGAUGGCCGAUUAGGUAGUUGGUGGGGUAAAGGCUCACCAAGCCAACGAUCUGUAGCUGGUCUGAGAGGACGACCAGCCACACUGGGACGGAGACACGGCCCAGACUCCUACGGGAGGCAGCAGUGGGGAAUUUUGGACAAUGGGCGCAAGCCUGAUCCAGCAAUGCCGCGUGCAGGAAGAAGGCCUUCGGGUUGUAAACUGCUUUUGUACGGAACGAAACGGCUCUGGUUAAUACCUGGGGCUAAUGACGGUACCGUAAGAAUAAGCACCGGCUAACUACGUGCCAGCCGCCGCCGUAA
rnacentral:rRNA from 1 species